AUGAACGCUGGCGGCGUGCCUAAUACAUGCAAGUCGAGCGAACGGACGAGAAGCUUGCUUUUCUGAUGUUAGCGGCGGACGGGUGAGUAACACGUGGAUAACCUACCUAUAAGACUGGGAUAACUUCGGGAAACCGGAGCUAAUACCGGAUAAUAUUUUGAACCGCAUGGUUCAAAAGUGAAAGACGGUCUUGCUGUCACUUAUAGAUGGAUCCGCGCUGCAUUAGCUAGUUGGUAAGGUAACGGCUUACCAAGGCAACGAUGCAUAGCCGACCUGAGAGGGUGAUCGGCCACACUGGAACUGAGACACGGUCCAGACUCCUACGGGAGGCAGCAGUAGGGAAUCUUCCGCAAUGGGCGAAAGCCUGACGGAGCAACGCCGCGUGAGUGAUGAAGGUCUUCGGAUCGUAAAACUCUGUUAUUAGGGAAGAACACAUGUGUAAGUAACUGUGCACAUCUUGACGGUACCUAAUCAGAAAGCCACGGCUAACUACGUG
rnacentral:rRNA from 1 species